rnacentral:rRNA from 1 species
GACGAACGCUGGCGGCGUGCUUAACACAUGCAAGUCGAACGGAAAGGCCCUGCUUGUACGGUCCUCGAGUGGCGAACGGGCGAGUAACACGCGGGUGAUCUGCCCUGCACUUCGGCUUAAGUCAGGGAAACUGGGUCCAUCACCGGCCAGGUGCCAUUCUUAGUGUGAUGGUUGGAACGUUGUUUCGGUGUAGGAUGAGCUCGCGCCCUAUCAGCUUGUUGGUGGGGUAAUGGUCUACCAAGGCGGCGACGGGUAGCCGGCCUGAGAGGGUGGACGGCCACAUUGGGACUGAGAUACGGCCCAGACUCCUACGGGGGGCAGCAGUGGGGAAUAUUGCACAAUGGGCGCAAGCCUGAUGCAGCGACGCCGCGUGGGGGAUGACGGCCUUCGGGUUGUAAACUCCUUUCGCUAGGGACGAAGCUUUUUGUGACGGUACCUAGAUAAGAAGCACCGGCUAACUACGUG